ensembl:lncRNA
GUUUUCCUUGGGAAAGACUCCGGUCACAACUGACAUGGCAGUUGGCACUUCUAAAGCUCUGGCCAAAGUAGAUCUCAGCAAUGAGGAGCUGAUACACAGGAUUCAUGUUUUUAAUUAGAAAUUUAUUACAUAAUAUAACAAACAUAUAUCUCUGUGGUGGAGCUAUCACAGCUGUGGACCUGCCUCAGCCUCACUACCCUGCCGCCCUUCCCUAUCUGUUUCCUUAUGGAUGAUAAGAGAACCAUGCCUCUGGGUGAAAAGGGUUCAACUGAUCUUGUAAAUCGUGGGACUGACCAUAAAGUGUGUUUUUGUUUCCAUUAUUGUUAUUUUCCAGAAAUCUACUCAAUGGCCAGUGGCCACUGUAUUCUGUCUUAUUUUCCAGUCUGUCUGCCGCUUCUGCCCUGACCUCUUUCAGUACGGUGUGUUUGGGAGUAGACAUGGUUGCUCCCCAUCUUCACCUUCAGAUGCUAGUUAGAGGCAGGUAGCCUAUAUCUCCCUCUCUGCAGACUAAUGAGGGUAUUUUAUUUCAACAGCAAAAAAACAUUUACACUUGAGUAUUCUCUUCCUGUAUCUGAGAUGACACAGAACUGUAUCUUAAAAUCCUGGCCUCACCAAUAGUCACAGUAACACUGUCUAGCAGAAAUCUGUACAUCUAUAGCACCAAAGUCAACGCUACUAUUUUAUUCUAGUUAGCUAGCAAUCUGACCUUUCACAUUUUCACCUACCACAUUUGAGACAUAUGCUGUCAGGAUUAAUCCAACAAUGCUAAACUACUGAAUAAUAUGAAUCUACUGAGGUUGUCAUUAAUCCAGUGUUCAUCAUUAGUUUCAGCCAGGCUACAGUUCUGUGUGGAGUUCAGUGUCUUUGAGGAAGAUAGAGAGCCGGGAUGCCUGGGGGGUCAAGAGGAGGGGAGGUUUAGAUGGGCCAGGCAAGGCCCAGACAUAGCCUGUGAUAGAUCCACCAUGUUAAACUUCACAGUGCAAACAAGGAGAAAAUCAACAAUGAAAGAAAAACCCUUUGAAUGAUGAUAAGAUCACUAGAUCCAGUGGUGGGUCUACCAGAUACCCUCUCACCGUGUAGAUUUGUGCUUUGUUGAUUAGAAAAGAAGAUGAAGUCGACCGUACAGAGAAACUCAUUGGUGUGAAUGAAGUGUCUGCCUCACCUUUCUGUGUCCCGCAGCAUGGGUUUGCAUCUGUAUAGGCUACCUGUGGUAAACCUACUAAGGGGUCCAACUAGGUUCUCUGUUACUGACGUGUUUUCUAACCAGGAAAGCAACUGGAGUCCAAACUGCACUGUGUGUGUGUGAGCGCAUGUGCAUGCCUGCAUGUGCGUGUGUACAGCAUGUGUGUAUAUAUGAGCUGUGUGUUUAAACCCAUGUCAGCAUCUCUCAGCAUCAGUUAGACAAGCUAUACAACCUUCAUCACAUUUAAACCAAGCAAUACUUUGAUACCUUGUCUCAAAAUAUAUAUAGAAAUGGUAAUAAUGCAAAUAAUAAUUUGUUAAUUCAUAAAAUCUGGUCAUUUUUCAGGAUAUAUAUAUAUAUAUAUAUAUAUAUAUAUAUAUAUAUAUAUAUAUAUAUAUAUAUAUAUAUAUAUAUAUAUAUAUAUUCCUUUACAAAACAUAAAAAAACGCCUGGAGUUCCACUCCAAAAAGGUUGUGCACACACAGUGGAGAAGCUAAAUGAAUGUCUGUAGUUCUCAAGAUUCCCAGGAGAUGGCACCAUAUUACUGAGUAACAGCUCAACAACUUCCAAACUAAAGUAGUCCUAUUAAGAAAAAUACACCAUUGAAAGUUUUUUGUUAUUUUUUGGCACGUUUUUCCCUCUUUGUUUCUUUUUUUUUGUCAGUCCUCUUCAAAAUCACCUCAUCAUAGCAUACCCUAAAAAACUCAAAGUCUGAAAAGGGAAAAGGGAGCAAAGAGUGUGUAACAGGAUGAAACGCAGAGCAGAGAGUGUGUCUCAGGAUGAAACAUGGAGCAGAGAGUGUGUAACAGGAUGAAACGCGGAGCAGAGAGUGUGUAACAGGUUGAAACACAGAGCAGAGAGUGUGUAACAGGAUGAAACACGGAGCAGAGUGUGUAACAGGUUGAAACACGGAGCAGAGAGUGUGUAACAGGAUGAAACGUGGAGCAGAGAGUGUGUAACAGGUUGAAACACGGAGCAGAGAGUGCCAGUGCACCUCGUCAUGAGGAGAGUCAUAGGGAGGUGUUGUAGGGCAGAUGGUAACACUGUAAUUGUCUGUGUCUAUGUCUCCAAUUGAACCACAGCCCAAACCACACACAAUGCCCAAGGCAGACAGGGUCUCUGACACACAGACAGGGGCUAUACAGGAACAGACAGAAUGUAAAGAAGAUUAAACUGUAUCGCUUUCAGCACCCCAGUAUUGUUUUGAUCUCUCUCUUUCUCUCUCUCUCUCUCUCUCUCUCUCUCUCUCUCUCUCUCUCUCUCUCUCUCUCUCUCUCUCUCUCUCUCUCUCUCUCUCUCUCUCUCUCUCAUCAAUGAAUAGAUAUCAAAGGGUCCUAUAAUGAUUACAGAUUUGGAGUUCAGUCUGUGUCUCUGUUUGUGCAAAUGUGUGUGUGCACCACGUGUGAGUGUGUUUGUGUGUGUGAGACACAGCCACUGCCAGGAAUCUCUGAUGGUAUUAAGGCUAAAGUGGACUCACUUCGAGGGUUUGAACUAGCGCACACACACAUACAUACACGCACCACACAGAGGAGAGGGGGGAGUGUACAGAGAGUCAGGGUGUUCCUCCCUUCACAGCCUGCAUGCGCUGUAACGAAUGGUGGCUGUAUUGCUAGCACCGUGUUUUGUGCAAAUCAUCUCCUAGUUCAGAGUUCAUAGAAAGAAUACAAUCUGAUCACACAUUUUUUCCUCAGUGAUUAACUAUGCAUAUAUGCCAAACAUUCAUAAAUAGAUCUAUAUAUUUUUUGAUUUUCAAAAAUGUAUAUGAAAACUAUCAUAUAUACAUUGCUUUUGAUUAAUAUAAAAAAGCAAAUAUUUGUAUUUUGUUCAUAUUUACAGGGUGUAUGUCAUUUUGAGAGGUUUAAAUAUUUUAGUUUCUCUUUUUCUUGGUCACUCUGAAAUUCAGAUUAGGUGAGUGAAUAGAAAAAGUUCUUAAUGUCUUAAUCCAAUAGCUACAAAAUCCACCCCUACAUUAUGGGGGGGCAUAACAAAUAAACACAAACCAACAAUCAACUCUUACAAUAUGGAGGGGGGCAUAACAAAUAAACACAAACCAACAAUCAACUCUUACAAUAUGGGAGGGGGGCAUAACAAAUAAACACAAACCAACAAUCAACUCCUACAUUAUGGAGGGGGGGAAUAACAAAUAAACACAAACCAACAAUCAACUCUUACAUUAUGGAGGGGGGGCAUAACAAAUACACACAAACCAACAAUCAACUCUUACAUUAUGGAGGGGGGGGGCAUAACAAAUAAACACAAACCAACCAUCAACUCUUAUAUUAUGGAUGGGGGGGCAUAACAAAUAAACACAAACCAACAAUCAACUCUUACAUUAUGGAGGGGGCAUAACAAAUAAACAUAAACCAACAAUAAACAUAAACCAACAAUCAACUCUUACAUUAUGGAGGGGCAUAACAAAUAAACACAAACCAACAAUCAACUCAAAUUACAAUAUGGAUGGGGGGGGGCGUAACAAAUAAACACAAACCAACUCUUACUUUAUGGAGGUGCAUAACAAAUGAACACAAACCAACUCUUACAUUAGGGAGGGGAGGGGCAUAACAAAUAAACACAAACCAACUCUUACAUUAGGGAGGGGGGCAUAACAAAUAAACACAAACCAACUCUUACAUUAGGGAGGAGGGGGCAUAACAAAUAAACACAAACCAACAAUCAACUCUUACAAUAUGGAGGGGGAAGCAUAACAAAUAAACACAAACCAACUCUUACAUUAGGGAGGGGGGCCUAACAAAUAAACACAAACCAACAAUCAACUCUUACAUUAUGGAGGGGGGGGCAUACCAAAUAAACACAAACCAACUCUUACAUUAUGGAGGGGCAUAACAAAUAAACACAAACCAACAAUCAACUCUUACAUUAUGGAUGGGGGCAUAACAAAUAAACACAAACCAACAAUCAACUCUUACAAUAGGGAGGGGGGGGCAUAACAAAUAAACACAAACCAACAAUCAACUCUUACAUUAUGAGGGGGGGCAUAACAAAUAAACACAAACCAACAAUCAACUCUUACAAUAUGGAGGGGGGCAUAACAAAUAAACACAAACCAACAAUCAACUCUUACAAUAUGGAGGGGGGGAUAACGAAUAAACACAAACCAACAUUCAACUCUUACAUUAUGGAGGGGGGGCAUAACAAAUAAACACAAACCAACAAUCAACUCUUACAAUAUGGAGGGGGCAUAACAAAUAAACACAAACCAACUCUUACAUUAGGGAGGGGGGCAUAACAAAUAAACACAAACCAACUCUUACAUUAUGGAGGGGCAUAACAAAUAAACACAAACCAACAAUCAACUCUUACAAUAUGGAGGGGGCAUAACAAAUAAACACAAACCAACUCUUACAUUAGGGAGGGGGGGGCAUAACAAAUAAACACAAACCAACUCUUACAUUAUGGAGGGGGGCAUAACAAAUAAACACACACCAACUCUUACACUAUGGAGGGGCAUAACAAAUAAACACAAACCAACAAUCAACUCUUACAUUAUGGAUGGGGGGGCAUAACAAAUAAACACAAACCAACAAUCAACUCUUACAAUAUGAGGGGGGAAUAACAAAUAAACACAAACCAACAAUCAACUCUUACAUUAUGGAGGGGGGCAUAACAAAUAAACACCAACCAACAAUCAACUCUUACAAUAUGGAGGGGGGGGGCAUAACAAAUAAACACAAACCAACAAUCAACUCUUACAAUAUGGAGGAGGGGGCAUAACAAAUAAACACAAACCAACAAUCAACUCUUACGUUAUGGAGGGGGGCAUAUCAAAUAAACACAAACCAACAAUCAACUCUUACAUUAGGGAGGGGGGCAUAACAAAUAAACACAAACCAACAAUCAACUCUUACAUUAGGGAGGGGGGAAAUAACAAAUAAACACAAACCAACAAUCAACCCCACACAAAAGCCUAAAUGAGUCAGACGGUAUUGUAGUGGCCCAAAAUAUAUCCUUUUCCUUAAAUAGUGCCACAAAAUGUAAAAUGGAGGGCACUAUAGGGAUAUGGGUGUCAUUUAGAACACCCCGCAUGUCUCCAGAAUCAGGAGUGAGAUCGUCUGAGAGGUCCAAUGUGAGACAGUGAGCGUUAUCCCUACAACCUUGACACAACUUUGAAUUUACCACCUGCUAAAUGGAUACAAAGGAACGUUUCACAGAGAUAGAUUGCCAAGAAUCUUAACUGAGCAUAAAGGUUUCAGUGCUACUGUUGACUAGUUAAGGUUUUAGUGGUAGUAGAGCCCACCUGGGUCAUGUUCAGGGGAGUCCAAUGUUAAACCUCAAUGUAGAUAGUCAUGUAUUAUAGAGAACAGACAUGCUUCACUGUUGAGAAACCUAUACUACAUAUUCUUUACCUACAAAAGCAAAAAAUCUACUUGUAUAACAGGAAAUCAUGUUUGCUCUUUAUAAGACGUUCAUGACUGUUGUACCAUGUCAGGUCUAUUUGCUGCUAUUGGACCAGGUCUCUCUUGGAAAAGAGAUGUCAUCUCAAGGAGAAAAAAACCUGUAUAAAUAAAGGUCAAAUAAAUCAAAUGAAAUAAACAUGCGGUAUUCAGAAUGUUGCUCCCUCUUAAGAGCACCCUGUUGUUCUCCCGUUGUGUUGUUGUGUGUAUGGAUGACCACUCACUGUCUCUAACCAUUGAGAGAAGCUAUUCACAUUACAAUUGUUGAUUUCUUAAGACAUCUCGUUCUAUAACCCAAACCAUGGUCUCAGAUGUAGAUAAUGAUGCUACCGGUCUUAGGUUGGAUGAGGAUUGUGUCUGUGUCUGUGUGUGAAUCUAAGUGUGUUAUUUGUUUGACCAGGUGAAUGUUCAUGUGUGUACAGUAGAUAUAGAUGUAAGAUCUUCAUUUGGGCCAGUUUGCUACAGCAGGAAAAUAAUCCUGCAGCAACAGGAAAUGUGAAUUAUUAUUAUAUUAUAAUUAAUGGACAUUUUUUGGUAGGGGUUGAUACAAAAUCAAGUCUGACAUUUCAAAGUGUAAAUUACAAACUUCAGAAGCCUACAAGCACUACAAGUGCAGGAAAGUUGCAGGAAAGUUCUUCUGCAACAGGCUGAUAAUUAAGACUCUAUCUGUGUAUAUCUACAUCUGAGUAUGUGUUGAGGUCACUGGGUUUAAACUGGGGUCAACUGUGGUUUCACACCCCUCACUGUGUGGGAUACCCUUCAGCAUGACGGAAGACCGCAAGAAAAGAAGCGGAAACGAAAACACAACCUUCUGUUCAAGACGACGUGAUGCAACUUCUCAUGCUACUGUUCAGGAAAGAGUGACCAUAGAAGGACAGUUCAUCAAUAGCGUGUUGUAUAUUGAAUAUGUAUAGUUUUAGUAAAGUUGUAUAUUUUAUGAAAAAAAAAUCAUUAUAUAUCUAUAUACUUUUUUUCAAAUAUAUAUAUAUAAUUGGUAAAAACAAGUAAAUUGUUGGUGGAAUAAAUUUUAAAGUCUUCUCUCUAUACUCGGUCUAGAAGUAGGAGUCAGAGGCUCUGUAUAUAACGUAUCUUUUUUUCAACGUUCUGUCGUCCCCCCC